rnacentral:rRNA from 1 species
GAUGAACGCUAGCGGCAGGCUUAACACAUGCAAGUCGAGGGGUAUAGGUUUUCGGACCUAGAGACCGGCGCACGGGUGCGUAACGCGUAUGCAAUCUACCUUUCACAGAGGGAUAGCCCAGAGAAAUUUGGAUUAAUACCCUAUAGUAUAGCAGUUUCGCAUGAAACCACUAUUAAAGUAUCAACGGUGAAAGAUGAGCAUGCGUCCCAUUCGCUAGAUGGUAAGGUAACGGCUUACCAUGGCCACGAUGGGUAGGGGUCCUGAGAGGGAGAUCGCCCACACUGUUACGGCGACACGGACCAGACUCGUACGGGAGGCAGCAGUGAGGGAGAUUGGUCGAUGGACGCAAGGCUGAACCAGCCAUGCCGCGUGCAGGAUGACGGUCCUAUGGAUUGUAAACUGCUUUUGUACGAGAAGAAACAACAUUACGUGUAAUGUCUUGACGGUAUCGUAAAAAUAAGGAUCGGCUAACUCCGUGCCAGCCGCCGCCGUAACAC